rnacentral:misc_RNA from 1 species
AGUACCUCCAUCGGACUCGAAAAUCGACAGAAGCCAUUUCAUAUCGCCGAUGGAAGACUCCAGAAGGUUGGAGACCUUGCGAAAGUCAGCAGUAGAGAUGAUGGAGAAGACAUGGCGGAGAACGCCGCUGUGCUUGCACUUACGAACAAGGGUGAGGGCACGAUCGAGGUUCUUGGAGAUGUCGGAAGCAAUAAGGAGGAGAGGGCGGUCGUAGAUGGAAGGAGUGGUGGAGACGAGGCGGACGGUGGAUCGUAGCAACUGGGAGAGGCGUUCCACUUGUUUAGCAAGGUCGGAGCAAUCCUGUUUGAACGAUUCUGCUUCUUGGGCCGAAUUGAUCACUCGAUCUGCAAGUAAAAUUGGGAUAGUCAGCUCUUGGAGAGUCUUCUCUUCUUCACGGCUAGACACUGUAGCGGCAACGGCCAUUUUUUAAAAAUGUUUUCUGGCUCUAUUACUAAUGAUUAACCGACAUACAUGAAGCACCUCUUACUUUAUGUUAGAUUUGAGCAAUCUGGAAGUUACUGAUGAGUAGAGUUUUGCUUCUGUCAGAUGGUCGAAAUAUGUGAAAGGCAAGGUGAGUGGUAGUGAUUUGAGAUAUUAUUUAUUUAAUUUGGGAAAUGAUCCUGGUGAUGGCUUUGUCUGUGUGCAAGAAAGAUGAACAGAAGAGGUGGAUGACAGUUGACUAAUCAAUUAUUUAGAUAAGGAUGCGGAAGAGGAUGGAGAAAAUUCUUAUGUCGACUGACGCUGAGGAAAUGCCAACCCCGAAAUCAAUUUUA